UGGAUUUUACACAGUUAAUGGCGUAUAUAAGCGGGACUUAAAGGUAGAAAAAAAUCCAAGUGGGUUCACUGGGACUUGUGCUUCUGCACCUCCCAAGUACUCAUGAGAAUUUCAUGAAAACAUUAAUAGCAUUGCUAAUUAAAGCAAGUACCAAAUGCUGCCUUUAGUAUAGAAGCGAUAACAGCUCAUGCUGUUGCAGUCUGGCAUAUCUCUGCAGACGGUGCUUUUCAGUAUUACCGCGCGUUUGGGCCGUGCAAUGGAUUCUGCUGAUUAAGUAUGAUUCAAAACCUCUCAUUUCCUUUUGCUUUAUGAUAAAUGAAUAUUCACCAUGGGUCUUACAUUUCAUGUGUUAUAGCUUUGGGAGUUUGUAACAACAGUUAUAGCUGCUUUUUAGCAUUAAUGUAAUUUGGAAUUGUCAUGAUGAAACAUCUUGAUGUAAUUGUGGCACCUUCCUGACUUGGUGCUCUGAGUAUAUAGAAUAGCCAGGAGAGAAUAUAAAGCAAGUGCUGUUAAGACUUAUAAAUGAUAUAGAAAUAAUGUAACAGUAAUGUGAGUUAAUUGUUGUUAGACCCUUUAAAAAUAUAUCUGUACAUAAAAAUCCAAAUGUUCAUAUUUGAGUAACUAAAAAUGUGAAUUAUCUUCCCCAGUAUCAACUACAUUAAAGAAAAACAACAACAAAAACCCCAAAAAGUGGCCUUGGGAAGGGAACUCAGAGCGAAAGAUCACCUAGCAGUGACCAGAGCAGUAUUAGAAACAGAUGCCGAAAUCAGGAUGUCAAGGCAGUGGAUGCAGAGUUAGAACUAAUGAAGUUAAGUUGGUGCGAUGCUGUUGGAAUACCGAACCUAUUGCUGAUGCCAGUGCUUGUUUUACAACGGUGCUGCAAUUGAAAAGGCUUCCAAAAAAUGAGAUUUCAGAAAAGGCUUUUAAAGAGAUGAAUGCAUGAGAAUUCCGAUAGCAUCUUUACUGCCAGCUCACAUCUACUGCGGAAAUGAACGCCCAAUAGGAAAAAGUCUGUAUCAGACAGAAGCGUGAGAGGAUUGCAUCCUAAAAUUAGAUAAGAAGCAGUUAAAAUGGAAGUAAAAUUCAGAUUGUUGGCAGUGAGACUAAUUAAGCAUUGAGAAAGUUGUGCAGAGACGUACUGCAUUCUGAAUGCCCUGAGGCUGUGAAAGGGAGACUCCCAACCUGCCUCCCCUUUCAAAAACUAACAGAUAAAUGUCCAUCACACACAGCAGCUGGUUGGUGCACCUUAGAAAAAGUGACAGUAUGGUGUAGAAAUGUUUGUUAUUUUGAAAAGCGGAAGGAAAAUCAGCAAAUAUUCCAUUUUGUUUCACCCGAAUAAAUGUAAAUUUUUUGUAAUUAAGUUUAAUUUUAGGUGUGGAAGCCUGGUCAUAGGGAAUCUAUCGAACUCCCAUCUUGAUGAUGUAAUGUGUGUCAGAUUUACUCUUGUUGGGGAUGGAUUCUAUGUUGAAAAUACUGCUUCAGUUCAACAGAAAACCUUAAAUCAUUCUGAGAUGCAGAUGUAUCCCUGUCCUAAGAGGUCUGUGCUUUGAUCACAUUCUUAACAUAUAAAAUAUAGACACCACAGUUCCAAAGCAGAAAUGCCCUGCUCAGCUAUUGCACCAGGGAGUACAUGUCAGAGGAACAGGAGAUGCAUCCUUGUGGCCCUGACUGGAGUACCUCAGGACACAAAUCACUGCUACUACCCUGGGAUCAUCCUGAUGGGUGAGUUUAAGCACUGUGCUGGCAGCCCUGCUCAGCUCAUAGGGCCCUACAGGAUCCGGAUCCCACCGUGGGAACCAACGUCGGGCACCUCAGUGCUUCUGUUGGAACCAACCCUCUGCUGAGGAGAGUGUGCAUGUAUGCGUGCACAUAGAUAAUACCAUGUUGUUUGGCAGGGGCAUACACAGUCUGCAUUUAACUACAGGAGCUGCAGCUCUUGGAUGCGAGGCAUGGCUGAGAAAAUACUUUCGUUUCCACAUCUUGCUGUUGACAAGCACAGUGCCACUACAAUUCCAGACAGUGAGCUUCUCUUAAUGCUGGCGUGUUUUCAGUAUGCCUUUUAGUCUUUUCUGUAUGUUGUGUCAACAUUUUACAUCUUUCAGAACUGUGUGUUGAGUGAUUUUAUACUGAAAUGUGUGCUAAUAUUGGUAACACUGACGUGUUUCGCUGUCUUUAUAGACCUCCUCUUUUGUAUGUUGUUUUUGAUAUUAAAAGAUGCACAUUUUGCCAGCC
ensembl:lncRNA